rnacentral:rRNA from 1 species
GUGGUAGUCGCACGAGCGCACCUCGCUGUAGUGUACAGUCUGCACUCUACAGACGCCGUGUAGCCGAGAAGUGGAUGACGUCAAGUCCUCAUGGCCUACAGGGUGGGCUACACACGUGCUACAAUGGCGACUACAGAGGGCUGCAAUCCCGCGAGGGGGAGCCAAUCCCUAAAAGUCGUCUCAGUUCGGAUUGCACUCUGCAACUCGAGUGCAUGAAGUUGGAAUCGCUAGUAAUCGCGGAUCAGAUGCCGCGGUGAAUACGUUCCCGGGCCUUGAACACACCGCCCGUC